GGCUGGCUGGCUCAGUUGGUGGAGCGUGAGGCUCUUGAUCUCAGGGUUGUGGGUUUGAGCCCUUUGUUGGGUA
rnacentral:tRNA from 1 species